rnacentral:rRNA from 1 species
UGGGGAAUAUUAGGCAAUGGGCGAAAGCCUGACCUAGCGACGCCGCGUGAGGGAAGAAGGUUUUCGGAUUGUAAACUCCUGUCUUAAGGGACGAUAAUGACGGUACCUUAGGAGGAAGCUCCGGCUAACUACGUGCCAGCAGCCGCGGUAAUACGUAGGGAGCGAGCGUUGUCCGGAAUUACUGGGUGUAAAGGGAGCGUAGGCGGGAUUGCAAGUCAGAUGUGAAAUGUAUGGGCUUAACCCAUAAACUGCAUUUGAAACUGUAGUUCUUGAGUGAAGUAGAGGUAAGCGGAAUUCCUAGUGUAGCGGUGAAAUGCGUAGAUAUUAGGAGGAACAUCGGUGGCGAAGGCGGC